CGACCCUCAAGCACAGCUUGGUGUUGGGCACGGUCCUGCGGGACCGGCCCGCAACUUGUAGGCGGCCGGCGCCCGCGCCCCCAGCGUAGCAAGCUCACGCGUUCGCUCGGGGACGGCGCGUCUGGCCCGCCGGGCACACAGCCCAAACCCUCCCAAG
rnacentral:misc_RNA from 1 species